AAAUUCUCAGGGGCCAGGAGAGCCACCUCCCAAGAGCAGGUGGAACUCUCCCACUCGUCCAAGGGGCUCCUGCGGCUCCACCCCUCGGAGCACUUGCUCGCCUUCUUGCACACCCCAUUCCUUUUCCACACGGAUUCUCCAGAAAACAUCAGUGGCUAAAGAUAGGCACGGCUGUGGAGUCCUGACUGCUUUCUCCCCUCGUGUGAUGCCUCCCUUCCAGGCCUUUCCCUCGGUGUUCGCCUAGGUGUCUCAGUGGGCAGUGGGUGAGCUGGGACUCCAUCUCUCUGAUGCGAAGGGGACUCAGGUUCUGCGCCAUCCACUCGAGGCGUCAAGGCAUCGGGCUGUCUAAGCAGCUGUCUUGGUAUCAAGGUGGGGACAAGGCAGGGACGGCCAACACUUGAAACGCAUGUCUCCUCCCGUCCCAACCUGGCACCGAUGGCACACGUCAACAGUCUAUCAUGCCCGAUUUCUCAACACAGCGCUUCUGGCAGCAUCACAAACGAUUGCACUUGGAACUCCAGCACUCAUUUUGCCCGUGUCGGGCUUUGGUGCAGGGGUCACCUGAUUUGGAGCCCCCCUGGUGUGCUGGCUAAGAAGACAGAUGCUGGAGUCCUCAAUGCUUGGGUCAAAGUCCUUGCUCUGCUCUGUGUGAGGUUAGAUGCGCCUCCACGGGCUUUGCCAAGAAUUCUAAUGAGAACCAGACGCUCUCACUCCGUCCUUCACCUGCAGAUCUCGCAGCGGAGAUAUUGCUGCCACUUGGGUUUGGAGUCCGAGCGUGCUUUGUUUUCAAUUCUCCCCUGUAGGAAUCGGGCCCCUGAGAGUCCGAGAAAGCAUUUCAGAUUUUUCUUUUCUUUAUUCUCCAGCCAAAAUGCACCAGGUCAAAGUAUGAAAGGGAGAAAACUCAGGACGUUGGGUGGGGAGCUGGGGCUGGUCACCCACUGGAAGCCCCGGGAGCUAAAGAGCUCACCCCUUGACAGAAAACAGAGGGAAUCCCAGUUUGUACGGGGGUGGGGGGAAGCUGGUUGCUGUGUCCUUGCAGUGUCCCUGGGUGCAGUCCCCACGCAUCCACCCCCAGAGGCCAGUGGAGGUCAAUGA
rnacentral:lncRNA from 12 species